rnacentral:rRNA from 1 species
GAUGAACGCUGGCGGUAUGCUUAACACAUGCAAGUCGAACGGACUCUUCGGAGUUAGUGGCGGACGGGUGAGUAACGCGUGAGAAUCUGGCUUUGGGUUCGGGACAACCACUGGAAACGGUGGCUAAUACCGGAUGUGCCGAGAGGUAAAAGAGAAAUUGCCUGAAGAUGAGCUCGCGUCUGAUUAGCUAGUUGGUGAGGUAAAGGCUCACCAAGGCAGCGAUCAGUAGCUGGUCUGAGAGGAUGACCAGCCACACUGGGACUGAGACACGGCACAGACUCCUACGGGAGGCAGCAGUGGGGAAUUUUCCGCAAUGGGCGAAAGCCUGACGGAGCAAUACCGCGUGAGGGAAGAAGGCUCUUGGGUUGUAAACCUCUUUUCUUAGGGAAGAACAAAAUGACGGUACCUAAGGAAUCAGCAUCGGCUAACUCCGUG